rnacentral:lncRNA from 12 species
CCACCGAAGUGACGAUGUGCAAACCACUCACAUCAGGAAAAUCCAGGGCGCUUUGAAAAAGAAACAGGGGAUCCCUUUUCAAAGAAAACAAUGCAGUCCAAAAUACGUAAACAGAGCUGCUAAGGGAGCAACAACGAGGGCAGUAGUUAUUCAUCUUUGCUUUACUGCAAAAUCUCAACACAAGAGUUUCUUUUGAAUCUGGAAGGGUCUCGAUGCUCUCACGCAUGUGUUCAGAGAGGGUGAGCCACGUGAUGGAGAGCCCGGCGGAAGCGGGCCACAGUGCGGGGUCAGGAUUUCCCGCUCCGGAAUCCUCAGGCAGCCAGGAAGAGAAAGGGCUUCUGGAAAGACAGCUCUAAUCGCCACGUCUCCUAGAUGCUUGGACAGUGACACGAUAGAAACGGAAAAUUGGAGACACUCCCUCUCUAGCAUCAGAUCACUUCUGGUCACUUCCUCAUGGGCAUUAUUAAAUCAACUGAACAGCUAUCUUUAAAAUCCCCAUUAGGUUUCCGGGGAAACAAUAUUUAUAGAUACUGAGAGCCACCUUCUCCAUUCUUUUUCAAAAACAAAAUAAGAUAAAUCAAUAGGAAAUUUUCCAAAAUUGGGAAAAAUAAUACAGAGUUAAGGAUUUUUUUUUUUAAUUGUGUUUAUAAGACUAAGAAAGCCCUUCCCACGGAACCCUGGUUACUGCUAUUGCCACAGUGGCUAUUGCCACUGUCACCCUCUGGGAAUGUAGUGUGGAGUGGAGGGUCUUUGUCACAUCCCAUUGUCCCUAGAGAGUGAGUAUAAGGGGCUGUCCAGACACGGGGCUGGGAUGCUAUGGCAAAGACAGCGAGGGGCAUCCCACUUCGCUGAAUCAGGGUCCUGAAUCUUAGUGUCUCCUGGAGCUGUCGUGCCCAGGAGGAAUUAAAGGGGUGCAGCACGGGGUCCCGUGAGGACAAGGCUGUCAUCUGUGUUGACUCAGGCAGCAGAAGAGUUAGCGACUCCUCACGCUACACCAUGACCUCCAGCAUAGGAAAGCUUGCAGUCUCUGCCAAGGUCUCAGAAUCAUCCUUCUGGAGGAGCCAACAGGCACGAGAGGACAUAAAGGUGACAAAAUGAAGAAUGCUAACUUUUCAGCCUUCCUGGCAAGCUUUCUGAGGUGACAGGGUUGGAUGGGGUUCACCAAGCGAGUCUGGCAAACCUACGUGCUACUGGAACCAUAGCAGCUUUAGGCCACUUUUUAAAGUCAUUUAAAAGAAAGUAAAAUUAAUGUAGGGUGUUAUGAAUGGAGGGUUUGUAUUCCCCCAAACUGACAUGUUGAAAUCCUCAUCUCUAACAGAAUAGCGUUAGGAGGUGGGGGCCUUUGGGAGGUGGUUAGGUCACGAGAGCAGAACCCCCUGAGUGGAAUUAGCACCCCGUAUAAGAAGAGAGCUUGCUUCCUUCCUCUGCUAGCUGUCACGGGAGGCUACAUCCGUGGACAUAGCCAUCUGCAAGUCGCAGCGGGCUCUCCCCAGAUAUCCCAUCUUCUGGUGCCUUGACCUUGGACAUCCCAGGCUGAAGAACUGUUAAGAAAUAAAUACAUGUUGUUUAAACCA